ACCUAUCGUCGCGACC
rnacentral:rRNA from 1 species